rnacentral:lncRNA from 12 species
GAGCUGAGCUCAGGCCAGGUAGGCGACUGGUCACUGCCACUUGGCUGGAGAGCAGCGCUGCAGGAUUGGGGUCCCCGCGCUUCCCUGUGGCUCCCACCCCCCCGUGGCCCUGUCCUCUCUGGUGAUGCUGCUUGAGCUACUGUCGCCUCCGGGCAUCGGGUUAGGUAAAGCCAGUGUGGAGCAACCCGUCCCAGCACUGCAGGACCCACAAAAGAAUGCUGGGCUGUUUUUAUCACGCGGAGGGUCCCUUCAAGCGUUUUCUGAGACAAACUCAAAGCCCAUGAUGACUCAGACAGAGGCUCAUGCUGUCGGCACAGUCGGGCAGAGGAAUUCCGCAGCUGCAUGAGGCAAGUGAGGUCCCCAUCCCUGGAGAAAAUCAAGUGGGUGUGGGCAUCCCCUGAUCUGGGGUCCUGGGGACGCUUGCCGCCCCCCCCACCGGCUGCAGGGUGGACAGCUGGACAAGGGGGUGGGGAGUGAGUGAGUCCAGGUCAAACACUGAGAACAGUGUCUGGCUCACGGAACCCAAUGCUCGCCGGUUACGCUGUGAAGGCCCCUCCCGGUCCUAAGCUGUGGCAGCCUGUGGCUUUGUCUCUAUGCCCAUGUGCACGGCAUGAAGGAAGAGCACCAGGCGAGAAGUUGCUGAAGGGUUAAGAAUUAAGUUAGAGGCCAAUUAAGUAGCGAGUCUGCAUGCAUUCGUGAGCCCCAGCUGCUCCAGCGGCCGAGUACCCGUGGAAAUGUGACAAAUUGGAGAAAUUCAUAUUUAUUAGAGCUCCUCUCAGGGAGAGUGUGUCUGUGAUUGCAAGAAAUCUCUGGACAAGGCACAUGCUCUGGGGAUGAGACCUCGUCCCCAAAGACACGCUCGCGAGGCCCAAGGCUCCCCCUACGCGCCCUCUAGGGAAGUGCAGCCUUGCUCCCGAGGACUCGGGUUCAGCCGAGCGGGUUGGGCUGGAGUAGGAGGAUGAAGAAGGAGGUUACAUCCUGGCAGCUGCCUUCUGCAUGCGGGGGGACACCCAAGGGAGGGGGGGCUGCCUGGGGCCCCUCUGUCCUCUAAGAGUCAGUCCCAAACUGAGGAAUCCCCUUCUGGAUGGAGAAGGAUAGGAGAUAAACAGGUUCCUAUGGCAGCAAGAAUGUGUCUGUCUUCCUUCCAGAAGAAUCCAUGUUGGGGAGCGGGGCGGGGGGGGGAGAGGGGGAAACCACUUCACUGCCCUUUGCUGGAGGUGCACCCCAGGGCCCCUCAGCCUGCUUCCCAGAAGUGUCUGCUCAAGGAUGACCUCACAUG